rnacentral:rRNA from 1 species
GAUGAACGCUGGCGGCGUGCCUAAUACAUGCAAGUCGAGCGAACGGACGAGAAGCUUGCUUCUCUGAUGUUAGCGGCGGACGGGUGAGUAACACGUGGAUAACCUACCUAUAAGACUGGGAUAACUUCGGGAAACCGGAGCUAAUACCGGAUGAUAUAUUGAACCGCAUGGUUCAAUAGUGAAAGACGGUUUUGCUGUCACUUAUAGAUGGAUCCGCGCUGCAUUAGCUAGUUGGUAAGGUAACGGCUUACCAAGGCAACGAUGCAUAGCCGACCUGAGAGGGUGAUCGGCCACACUGGAACUGAGACACGGUCCAGACUCCUACGGGAGGCAGCAGUAGGGAAUCUUCCGCAAUGGGCGAAAGCCUGACGGAGCAACGCCGCGUGAGUGAUGAAGGUCUUCGGAUCGUAAAACUCUGUUAUUAGGGAAGAACAUAUGUGUAAGUAACUGUGCACAUCUUGACGGUACCUAAUCAGAAAGCCACGGCUAACUACGUG